GCGGAUGGUACGAAUGGGAAGGAAAUGAGGGUGAUGCUUACUUGUCUGGGGAGGAUCGGAGGAGGUCGAUGGUGGGUCUCUGCGCCGACGACUGAAUCGGAGACUGCAAACGCAAGACUUGUUCUCCUUUCAUACUGCUCCACAGAGCUGACUCCAGGAAAGGGGGAUAAGGGGACAGACCUCGGACUGCUGGCUUCCCUCGGCCAACCAUCUCUCGUCUUGCUCCUCCGUCCCUCUAAUACACGGACGUAUCCAGGAGCAGCGGCACACACAAGCGAGGCAGAUACUGGCACCCGCCGUUUAGAGGGGCAAAGGACCAUAUGAACGGUGCGGAGGGGUGUUCCGGCGCUCUCCGCACCAGCUGGGAGCUGCUAGAGACGAAGAAGGCGGCGGAGGUCGUCGCUGGCUCCGGCGGCGUCAGCUUUGGUAGGAUCGCCCCUGAACGUCUCUGCGAUCCGUGGAGAUGGGGAGGAAGGCGCCUUGGUCCUGAGCGCGAAGAACCUGGGCAUUGGAAGGCUGCUCGGUGGGGGUGACAGAGAAUACACGCCAUCGGCCUCGUCGUCCUCCUCCGGGUGCAGUUUAUGCUUGGAAGGAAAGUUGACAGCGGGGUGCAGUUCCUUCUUGGUCUUCGUGCCGCCGGUCUGGGUACCUCUCCGUGGCUUGGCAGGGGAUUUGGUCAGUUUCUUCUCUUCCUUGUUGAGCGACCGGGCAGUAACAGCGCGAUUAGUCCUCCUUGUAGGCUUUGCCAGGGAAGUCGGAGACGGAAGGGAAGAGGACUUUGCCAAGGGAAAGGGGAGAAGAGGAGGGUGUUGCUGUUGGAGGAGGUUAAGGUUCGGGAGGGACGAGUACGUGGGAGCGGGCGGCGGAUACAACGCGCACAUCGGAG
rnacentral:lncRNA from 1 species